rnacentral:rRNA from 1 species
UAAUCGCAGAUCAGCAAAGCUGCGGUGAAUACGUUCCCGGGCCUUGUACACACCGCCCGUCACACCACGGGAGUCGGUCGCGCCUGAAGCCGGUGGCCUAUCAGUAAUGGGGGAGCCGUCUAUGGCGAGAUUGGUAACUGGGGUGAAGUCGUAACAAGGUACC